rnacentral:rRNA from 1 species
CCUACGGGUGGCAGCAGUGAGGAAUAUUGGUCAAUGGCCGCAAGUCUGAACCAGCCAAGCCGCGUGAAGGACGAAGGUUCUAUGAAUUGUAAACUUCUUUUGUACGAGGGCAAAUUCAGAUUCGUGUGCCUGGCUGAGAGUACCGUAAGAAAAAGCAUCGGCUAACUCCGUGCCCGCAGCCGCGGUAAUACGGAGGAUGCAAACGUUAUCCGGAUUUAUUGGGUUUAAAGGGUGCGUAGGCGGUUCGUUAAGUUAAAGGUGAAAUCCCGGGGCCCAACUCCGGCACUGCCUUUGAUAAUGGCGGGCUAGAGAUGAGUUGCGGUAGGCGGAAUGUAUGGUGUAGCGGUGAAAUGCAUAGAGAUCAUACAGAACACCGAUUGCGAAGGCAGCUUACCGAACGACGACUGACGUUGAGGCACGAAAGCGUGGGGAGCGAACAGGAUUAGAUACCCGAGUAGUC